AAUACAAUUGGUGGGUCAUAUGGUGAUUCUAUGUUUAACCUUUUAAGGAAUUGCCAGACUGUUUUCCAAGGAAGCUGCAUCAUUUUAUUUUCCCAUCACUGAU
rnacentral:pre_miRNA from 1 species